rnacentral:tRNA from 2 species
GCGCCUAUAGCUCAGUUGGAUAGAGUGUUGGUUUCCGAAACCAAAGGUCAGAGGUUCAAUUCCUCUUAGGCGCGCCA